AGCCAAAGCAGACGUCUUUCCUCAGCCCAAAAUGAUGGCCCUGAAAAUGCAGACUGCAGAACUUGGCGUGGGAGCAGGCGGUGCUGUCCUGGGGUUGCCAGAUGGUGUGCACUCACAUGGACAUAGCAUGUGGGCUCUGCCGGAUGGACGAGGCUGAGACCCAUGAGUCAGAUACAGCAUCUGUCACCUCAGCAGCCCGGGGCACCGAGGACACAGGAAGUGAGUGGUCAGAGUAUCUCAUCUUUGUGUUUUAAUUUGGAUCUCAUGGAUGGCCAAUGCACCCACACUAUUACUCAUUACUUCCAGACCAGUGUGAAUCUUUUCCUGAGUUUUGCUGCAAUAUCUGCAUUUGCUUCCAAGUAAGUAUUUGGGAAACCAUUUUCCAAAUUGGUCUUAUCUGUAACCAGAAUUUCUGAGGUUUCUAAAGACUCUAACAGCAUAAUAAAAAUCAAACAACUGAGCUUGUGUGUGGGAUGAGAUAAAAAUGUUUGGGC
rnacentral:lncRNA from 1 species